rnacentral:lncRNA from 1 species
UAUUUGUAUCCCCAGUUAGAGGGCUUAAAGUAUCUUGUUUAGAGAGACAAAGCUGGUAGCUGAUUUCUAAUUCAAGCCCACAUUGCAUUGCUGGAGUUCAGGCUAGGAGGUAGAGGAGUGGGGAAAGAAGAGAUCAUAGAGAGUUUCAGACAGCAAAGAAAACAUCACAUUUUCUCAAAUGUAAGAACUAAAACAAGCAAGCAAGGAGGUGUCAACUUAGUAAAGGAAACCAGGGUGAGGCCAGCAGGGGUCCGACCACCACCUUUGGAGUCUUGCAGGUACAAAUCCUCAGUAGAACAGAACAGAGACCUCAGAAAUAACACCACACAUCUACAACCAUCUGAUCUUUGACAAAACUGACAAAAACAAGCAAUGGGGAAAGGAUCCCCUCUUUAAUAAAU